rnacentral:lncRNA from 1 species
UUCUUCUCACACUUGCAAUGCAAUUACAUGAUGGCUUAAAUAGCCGGAAGCACACGGCUAAAACGCAGCCACUCACCUACUAACUCCAUGCACACACACGCACAGGCCACAACUGUCUGACCCGGUUACUACUCAACUAACCCACGUCUAGAUUGAGUCACUUCCAAGUUUUCUGCAGAUCAACUAAGAGUUCACACAGCCGGCGCAUGCCACAACUGAUUUUGCCCGCUUCUUUCUCCACCUCUUUCUGCUACACAACUCGGCCGCUUGGACUCCACGGAACUAGAUGCAUGCAGCUAGCCUAUCCAUGCAAACUACUAACAAACUCAACGGGAUACACUACUGACUUGCAUAUACACGCGUGAUCUCUUCUCUACGUGAGUACAUGCCCGCAGCCAGGUAGGUUAGACAUGACAACAUGCAUGACACUGCUAAAUAAAUAUGAUGAAAAACCAAAAAAACAACAAGUUUAAUUCUAACAAUCACCCCCUUAACCUUGCUGUCGUUUAUUCGAACUCCCAUGCCGUAGCAUCACAGCAGCCCCGGCUCGUCGUCGGCCGUCGCGGCAGCAAGAAGCGCCCGCUGUUUCCUUGGCUCGGUGCAGUCCUUGGAGUAAUGUCCAUACUCUUGACAGUUGUAGCAACGCACCUUGCGUAUGUCGAAGUUGCGCUUCUUCUUGCCGGCGCCGAUGCGGUUGCGAGCAAGCCACUCCUCCUCCGUGAGGAGCAGGCGACUCCCACCACCUUGGUCGUAGUUGUUGGCGCUCUCGUCCAAGUCGCUCCGGUCCUCCGCCGUUUUGAGCCUUCCCACAAGCUCUUCCAUGGACAUGGUUUUAAGAUCAAGAAGUUGUUCAAUGGCAAUAGCUACCAGGGUAUACUUGGACGGCAUGAUGCGAAGAAGCUUCUUCACAACCUUCACCUCGUCGAGGUUCUCGCCGAGCGUGCGCAGCUUGUUGGCGAUCCCGUUCAUGCGCAUGGCGAGCUCAUCGAGGGUCUCGCCGCUCCUUAUGCGGACGACAUCAAUCUCCUUGAGGAGAGUCUGCGCCUUGGCCUCACGGACGCGGGCAUCGCCGACCCGCAUGAUCUUGAUGGCAUCCCAUGCCUCCUUUGUCAUCGCCUUCACGGCAAGCGUGGAGUGCAUCUCCUCUAGCACGGCUCGCAGAAUUGCCGCCAGCGCCGCCCUGUCCUGGCUGAAGCUCCCGCAUCCCUUGAUGGCGUCCCACACGCGUUGGGCCUCCAUGUUCACCUUCAUUAUCAGCGACCACUCGAAGUAGUUCGUUGCCGUCAGCAGCGGGUAGACGACGGUGCUGCUGGCCUGGUGGACGACCUCCUGCUGCCCCACCACCUCGCGGCAGCCACGCCGCGUCGGGCUCCGGCCUCGGCGCACCACCGGCGAGGCCGAGACACGGCGGAGACCCGGCGACGGAGUGCGUGAACCUUCAGUCACCAUGGCUCUGAAUACCAAAUGUUGGCAUAGCCGAAGGAGGAAGAAGACUCACACACACAACUAGAGGUGGAAGAAGAUACGCACAGAGUAUUGGCACGCACACACUUUGCCUUUUCUUUGUUUUCUUCUCACACUUGCAAUGCAAUUACAUGAUGGCUUAAAUAGCCGGAAGCACACGGCUAAAACGCAGCCACUCACCCACUAACUCCAUGCACACACACGCACAGGCCACAACUGUCUGACCUGGUUACUACUCAACUAACCCACGUCUAGAUUGAGCCUCUUCCAAGUUUUUUGUAGAUCAACUAAGAGUUCACGCAGCCGGCGCAUGCCACAACUGAUUUUGCCCGCUUCUUUCUCCACCUCUUUCUGCUACACAACUCGGCCGCUUGGACUCCACGGAACUAGACGCAUGCAGCUAGCCUAUCCAUGCAAACUACUAACAAACUCAACGGGAUACACUACUGACUUGCAUAUACAGGCGUAAUCUCUUCUCUACGUGAGUACAUGCCCGUAGCCAGGUAGGUUGGACGUGACAACAUGG